CUGAGAUUUACUUAUUGUACACCUGGUCCUGAUGACUGCCUUUCUGGAUGACACAUUUCAGAUAUGAAAUUGCUUACUAUGUAUCAGCUUACUAUACGUACAUCAGCUGAGAUGUAAUUAAUAGUUUUGUUGAAUUCUGUUGAAACACACGUGGACUUCACAAGCUGGCUCUUUCUGCCUUCUGCUGUUCGUUCCUCAAAAUGCAGACAGAUAUGUUUGAACGGGAAAACGUUUGCCAGCUAUGGACAACCCAAGCGUCUGCAUCACUCUGACUUUCAGGUAUUUGAGGACCUUGAGUGGUUACCUCCCUUAACUUUCUCAUGUUAAGCUUCAAUAUGAU
rnacentral:lncRNA from 1 species